UAAGUCCUACGGGGGGCAGCAGUGGGGAAUAUUGGGCAAUGGGCGCAAGCCUGACCCAGCAACGCCGCGUGAAGGAAGAAGGCUUUCGGGUUGUAAACUUCUUUUCUCAGGGACGAAGAAAGUGACGGUACCUGAGGAAUAAGCCACGGCUAACUACGUGCCAGCAGCCGCGGUAAUACGUAGGUGGCAAGCGUUAUCCGGAUUUAUUGGGUGUAAAGGGCGUGUAGGCGGGAGCGGAAGUCAGAUGUGAAAAAUCAGGGCUCAAACGUGAG
rnacentral:rRNA from 1 species